UGUCGUCAGCUCGUGUCGUGAGAUGUUGGGUUAAGUCCCGCAACGAGCGCAACCCCUCGCAUUCAGUUGCCAUCGGGUAAUGCCGGGCACUCUGGAAGGACUGCCAUCGACAAGAUGGAGGAAGGUGGGGGAUGACGUCAAGUCAUCAUGGCCCUUAUGUCCAGGGCGACACACGUGCUACAAUGGCCGGCACAACGGGAAGCGAGUUCGCGAGGACGAGCGGAUCCCUCAAAGCCGGUCGCAGUUCGGAUUGAAGUCUGCAACUCGACUUCAUGAAGCUGGAAUCGCUAGUAAUCGUGGAUCAGCCAAGCCGCGGUGAAUACGUUCCCGGGCCUU
rnacentral:rRNA from 1 species